rnacentral:misc_RNA from 1 species
GAUGAAGAACGUAGCGAAAUGCGAUAAGUAAUGUGAAUUGCAGAAUUCAGUGAAUCAUCGAAUCUUUGAACGCACAUUGCGCCCGUCAGUAUUCUGGCGGGCAUGCCUGUUCGAGCGUCAUUACGCCCCUCAAGUCCCCUGUGGACUUGGUGUUGGGGAUCGGCGAGGCUGGUUUUCCAGCACAGCCGUCCCUUAAAUUAAUUGGCGGUCUCGCCGUGGCCCUCCUCUGCGCAGUAGUAAAACACUCGCAACAGGAGCCCGGCGCGGUCCACUGCCGUAAAACCCCCCAACUUUUUAUAGUUGACCUCGAAUCAGGUAGGACUACCCGCUGAACUUAAGCAUAUCAAUAAGCGGAAGA